UGCGUAGGCGGGCUAAUAAGUCAGUGGUGAAAUCUCUCGGCUCAACCGGGAAACUGCCAUUGAUACUGUUAGUCUUGAGUUCGGUUGAGGUAGGCGGAAUGUGUAAUGUAGCGGUGAAAUGCUUAGAUAUUACACAGAACACCAAUUGCGUAGGCAGCUUACUGGACCUACACUGACGCUGAGGCACGAAAGCGUGGGGAGCGAACAGGAUUAGAUACCCUGGUAGUCC
rnacentral:rRNA from 1 species